GGCCGCCGGAGAACCGUCCAACCUCUGGAAUCGAAUGUCGUCCGAGUCCGAUCGAAAUCGAACGGAAAACUUUCAACAACGGAUCUCUUGGUUCCGGCAUCGAUGAAGAAC
rnacentral:rRNA from 1 species